UACGUAGGGGGCAAGCGUUGUCCGGAUUUAUUGGGCGUAAAGCGCACGCAGGCGGUCUCUUAAGUUUCGAGUGACAGGUGGUGGCUCAACUGCCACAGGCCUUGGAAAACUGGGAGACUUGAGGACUUCAGAGGGAUGCGGAAUUCCAGGUGGAGCGGUGAAAUGCGUAGAGAUCAGGAAGAACACCCGUGGCGCAAGCGGCCACCUGGCAGAGCACUGACGCUGAGGCACGAAAGCGUGGGUAGCGAACCGG
rnacentral:rRNA from 1 species